AGUGCAUGUGGUGGAUGCCUUGGCGAUUACAGGCGAUGAAGGACGUGGUAGCCUGCGAAAUGCUACGGGGAGCUGGCAAACGAGCUUUGAUCCGUAGAUGUCCGAAUGGGGAAACCCACCCGCAAGGGUAUCUCACGCUGAAUACAUAGGCGUGAUGAAGCGAACCUGGUGAACUGAAACAUCUUAGUAGCCAGAGGAAAAGAAAUCAACCGAGAUUCCGAAAGUAGCGGCGAGCGAAAUCGGAACAGCCUGCAAGUUUUAGCAUCUGCGUUAACAAAACGGUCUGGAAAGGCCGGCCAUAGAAGGUGAUAGCCCUGUAUGUGAAAACCCGGAUGUGGAACUAAGCUUGCGACAAGUAGGGCGGGACACGUGAAAUCCUGUCUGAACAUGGGGGGACCAUCCUCCAAGGCUAAAUACUCGUAAUCGACCGAUAGUGAACCAGUACCGUGAGGGAAAGGCGAAAAGAACCCCGGGAGGGGAGUGAAAUAGACCUGAAACCGCAUGCAUACAAACAGUCGGAGCCUCGUAAGGGGUGACGGCGUACCUUUUGUAUAAUGGGUCAGCGACUUACAUUCAGUGGCAAGCUUAACCGUAUAGGGAAGGCGUAGGGAAACCGAGUCCGAACAGGGCGUCUAGUCGCUGGGUGUAGACCCGAAACCGGAUGAUCUACUCAUGGCCAGGAUGAAGGUGCCGUAACAGGUACUGGAGGUCCGAACCCACUAGUGUUGAAAAACUAGGGGAUGAGCUGUGGGUAGGGGUGAAAGGCUAAACAAAUCCGGAAAUAGCUGGUUCUCUCCGAAAACUAUUUAGGUAGUGCCUCGUGUAUUGCUCCGGGGGGUAGAGCACUGUAAUGGUUGGGGGGCCCACUGCGGGUUACCUCGCCAUAGCAAACUCCGAAUACCCGGAAGUAUGAGCACGGGAGACAGACGGUGGGUGCUAACGUCCAUCGUCGAGAGGGAAACAACCCAGACCGCCAGCUAAGGUCCCUAAUAUAUGCUAAGUGGGAAACGAAGUGGGAAGGCUAAAACAGUCAGGAGGUUGGCUUAGAAGCAGCCAUCCUUUAAAGAAAGCGUAAUAGCUCACUGAUCGAGUCGUCCUGCGCGGAAGAUGUAACGGGGCUAAGCAUAUAACCGAAGCUGCGGAUACGCGUAAGCGUAUGGUAGGAGAGCGUUCUGUAAGCCUGUGAAGGUGCAUCGUAAGGUGUGCUGGAGGUAUCAGAAGUGCGAAUGCUGACAUGAGUAGCGAUAAAGGGGGUGAAAAGCCCCCUCGCCGUAAGCCCAAGGUUUCCUACGCAACGUUCAUCGGCGUAGGGUGAGUCGGCCCCUAAGGCGAGGCAGAGAUGCGUAGCUGAUGGGAAACAGGUUAAUAUUCCUGUACCGCCGUCAAGUGCGAUGUGGGGACGAAGAAGGUUAACUCAGCCACCUGUUGGAUGGUGGUUUAAGUGUGUAGUCGUGCUGCCUAGGCAAAUCCGGGCGGCUAAGAUGAGGCAUGAUGACGAACGAACUUGUUCGUGAAGUGAGUGAUACCCAGCUUCCAAGAAAAGCCACUAAGCUCCAGCUUGACGGGACCGUACCGCAAACCGACACAGGUGGGCGAGAUGAGUAUUCUAAGGCGCUUGAGAGAACUCGGGAGAAGGAACUCGGCAAAUUGAUACCGUAACUUCGGGAUAAGGUAUGCCCUUAGUAGGUGAAGGUGUACAACUGGAGCCGAAUAGGGUCGCAGAGAAUCGGUGGCUGCGACUGUUUAACAAAAACACAGCACUCUGCUAACACGAAAGUGGACGUAUAGGGUGUGACGCCUGCCCGGUGCCGGAAGGUUAAAUGAUGGGGUGCAAGCUCUUGAUUGAAGCCCCGGUAAACGGCGGCCGUAACUAUAACGGUCCUAAGGUAGCGAAAUUCCUUGUCGGGUAAGUUCCGACCUGCACGAAUGGCGUAACGAUGGCCACACUGUCUCCUCCCGAGACUCAGCGAAGUUGAAGUGUUUGUGAUGAUGCAAUCUACCCGCGGCUAGACGGAAAGACCCCAUGCACCUUUACUGUAGCUUUGCAUUGGAUUUUGAACCGGUCUGUGUAGGAUAGGUGGGAGGCUUUGAAGCGGGGACGCUAGUUCUCGUGGAGCCGGCGUUGAAAUACCACCCUGACUUGUUUGAGGUUCUAACCUUGGCCCGUAAUCCGGGUCGGGGACAGUGCAUGGUAGGCAGUUUGACUGGGGCGGUCUCCUCCCAAAGUGUAACGGAGGAGUUCGAAGGUACGCUAGGCACGGUCGGACAUCGUGCUCAUAGUGCAAUGGCAUAAGCGUGCUUAACUGCGAGACUGACAAGUCGAGCAGGUGCGAAAGCAGGACAUAGUGAUCCGGUGGUUCUGUAUGGAAGGGCCAUCGCUCAACGGAUAAAAGGUACUCUGGGGAUAACAGGCUGAUA
rnacentral:rRNA from 1 species